UAUAAAUAAGCGGAGGAAAAGAAACUAACAAGGAUUCCUUCAGUAACGGCGAGUGAAGAAGGAAGAAGCCCAGCGCCGAAUCUCCACGGCGGAGACGCUGUCGAGAAAUGUGGCGUAUAGGAAGGCGAACUGCGGCCGCGCUCCGGCGCCCAAGUCCUCCUGAUCGUGGCCCACCCAUAGCGGGUGUUAGGCCCUUACAGGCGCUCGGACGCGGUGGCUUUCGAUACUUCCUCGGAGUCGGGUUGCUUGGGAAUGCAGCCCGAAGCGGGUGGUAAACUCCAUCUAAGGCUGAAUACGAACACGAGUCCGAUAGCGAACAAGUACCGUGAGGGAAAGUUGAAAAGCACUUUGAAGAGAGAGUUCAAGAGUACGUGAAACCGCCUAGAGUCAAACGGGUGGAUCCGCAAAGUCGGCUCGGGGAAUUCAGCCGGCCCCGAACCCAGGUGCCGCGAGGGUGUCCGUCUCGGAUUCCGCAAGGAACCGCGGCCUCUCGUUCCAGGGCAAGCGCACCUCGGUGGCUGGUGCACUUUCUCCGAGCCGAGCGCCACGACCGGUUCUCCGUAAUGCAGUCAGACGACGAGGGGACUGGUAGCCGUCGACCCCGUGCUUCGGUGCGGGACUCAGCGGUGUUUAAGUCCCUCUCUGCUCCGGCCUGCCGUGAGGACCGAGGAAGUAGUCUCUAGAGCCGUGCCUCCCGUCUUCGGGCCAUCGGCGGGCGUUCGACCUCGGCAUCUCGCGCCGUGAGGCUCUCGUAGCCGCAUCGGUGUUGUCGUAACCGCGCUCCGUUCGAAGGGCUCGUCUGGCGGAGUGGCCGCGUUCAGGGUCAGUGGCGAAUCGGUCGGCCCUCCACCCGACCCGUCUUGAAACACGGACCAAGGAGUCUAACAUGUACGCAAGUCAUGGGGUUUUCUCUCUCGAAGAAACCCACAAGGCGCAAUGAAAGUGAAAGAACACGCAAGUGAACUGGGCAGGAUCCCCCAACCCUCCGGGGCGGGGCGCACUGCCGGCCCGUCUCGUCUGCACCGUUGCUCUUCGGGGCUUCGGCUGUCAGUGAGGCGGAGCAAGAGCGCACACGUUGGGACCCGAAAGAUGGUGAACUAUGCUUGAGUAGGAUGAAGCCAGAGGAAACUCUGGUGGAGGUCCGCAGCGAUUCUGACGUGCAAAUCGAUCGUCAAACUUGAGUAUAGGGGCGAAAGACUAAUCGAACCAUCUAGUAGCUGGUUCCCUCCGAAGUUUCCCUCAGGAUAGCUGGCACUCGCUGACGUAGUUUUAUCCGGUCGAGCGAAUGAUUAGAGGUCUUGGGGCCGAAACGGCCUCAACCUAUUCUCAAACUUCAAAUGGGUAAGAAGCCCGACUCGCUCAACUGAGCCUCCGGGUUCUGGAGUCGCGGCAUUGAAUACGUAAGUGCCAAGUGGGCCACUUUUGGUAAGCAGAACUGGCGCUGUGGGAUGAACCAAACGCCCGGUUAAGGCGCCAGAUACUGACGCUCAUCAGACACCAUAAAAGGUGUUGGUUGAUAUAGACAGCAGGACGGUGGCCAUGGAAGUCGGCAUCCGCUAAGGAGUGUGUAACAACUCACCUGCCGAAUCAACUAGC
rnacentral:rRNA from 1 species